CUUCUUGUUCUUCCACAGCAGAGCCCCUCCUGCCUGACGUGGAGAAGGAUAAUGGACAUGCUGGUCCUAUGUGAAAGGAAACUGUGGUCCAGACUGUAGGAAAAAGAUACACUCACAGAAAUUUGCAUACGGGAAGUUUAUUGUAAAGUGGUCUCAGGAAUAAUAAUUGUGAGGAGUUAAGGAAGCAGGAUUGGGAAGGAGAAGUUGAACUAUGGGGAAAUUGCAAGAAAGUCUUCAGCACAUCCCAUAGAAGCUCAGGAGCUGGGGUAGACCUUCAGAGCUGUCCCAAAUUAAGACCCCACAAGCGAGGGAGCUGGAUGCUUCUGCUGAAAUGCCGAAUCACAGUGAUAGCAAGAGUUAACAAAUGUAGACCCGUAC